GACAAAAUUGACAUUUUUCUAAAAGGGGGACGAAUUUGACACACUUCAAUCAAACUGGGGACAAAAGAAGCAAUUAAACCAAGAAUUUAUUAUAUCUAUUUAUUUUUAAAGUUGGAAAACCAAAAUGUAUCAAAGUUUUAAACAACGAUAAAUUCAAAUUUUACUUUAAAAUUUAGGACGAUACUCCCUCUACCUCUACAUAAUGCUUCUUCCACCUCCCCGUUCCAUUUUUGUCCUUUAGUAAUAUUUGAACCAAUAUGAAUAUAACUUAUAACAUUAUCCGUUGGAGGAGAAACGAAUAUCAACAUCAAUGUUGAAAUCCGUUUAAUUGUAAGAGUUAUCCCUACACCACCACAACCUUCUCCAUAAACCUCUUCAUUUUUUUUUCAGGUUAAUAUAUUUUUACUUUCACCCUUAACUUUUUAUACUUUUAUUAAAAUCCUUGCGGCACCGCACACCCCACCUCCUUCAGACUUCUCUCUUUUCUCUUUUUUUUCUCAUUUCCGUUUUUGUCAUCCACCCCCACAACUCUCUCUCUCAUUCCUUCUUUUCUCCAUUUUUAUUUCUCUCUUUUGGUGUUAUAGUUUCGUUUUCUUCCCUCUCUUCUCCUAUUGUUUUCAUUUUUUUUCCUUCACUAGUACAAAAAUCAUAUUUUAUGACGUACAAAAACGAACUAUGACGUACAUAGUUUUGUACGUUAUAAUAGGUCUACAUAUUUUAUGACGUAGCAAAAAUUUACGUUAU
rnacentral:lncRNA from 1 species